AGAGGUUAGAUAGCAAUAUCGAAGCCUUGAACUCAAGCCCCAGUAAACGGCGGCCGUAACUAUAACGGUCCUAAGGUAGCGAAAUUCCUUGUCGGGUAAGUUCCGACCCGCACGAAUGGUGUAACGAUUUGGGCACUGUCUCUACGCGAGAUCCGGUGAAAUUGAAGUUCGGGUGAAGAUGCCCGAUACUUGUGGUUAGACGGAAAGACCCCGUGAACCUUUACUUUAACUUGACAUUGGGACUCGGACCAAGAUGUGUAGGAUAGGUGGGAGACUGGGAACUGUGACCGUCAGGUUGCAGGGAGUCGACGGUGAAAUACCACCCUUGUUGGUCCGCGUUCCUAACCCAGGCCAUGAACUGGUUUGGGGACCGUGUCAGGCGGGAAGUUUGACUGGGGCGGUCGCCUCCU
rnacentral:rRNA from 1 species